GAUGAAGAACGCAGUGAAAUGCGAUAAGUAAUGUGAAUUGCAGAAUUCAGUGAAUCAUCGAAUCUUUGAACGCGCAUUGCGCCUCCUGGUAUUCCGGGGGGCAUGCCUGUUCGAGCGUCAUUUCACCACUCAAGCCUCGCUUGGUAUUGGGCAACGCGGUCCGCCGCGUGCCUCAAAUCGACCGGCUGGGUCUUCUGUCCCCUAAGCGUUGUGGAAACUAUUCGCUAAAGGGUGUUCGGGAGGCUACGCCGUAAAACAACCCCAUUUCUAAGGUUGACCUCGGAUCAGGUAGGGAUACCCGCUGAACUUAAGCAUAUCAAUAAGCGGAGGA
rnacentral:misc_RNA from 1 species